rnacentral:rRNA from 1 species
UACGGGGGGGGCGAGCGUUGUUCGGAAUCACUGGGCGUAAAGGGCGCGUAGGCGGCCCGCACAAGUCUGCGGUGAAAACCCCCGGCUUAACCGGGGGCCGGCCGUGGAAACUGUCGGGCUAGAGGCCGGGAGAGGGCAGCGGAAUUCCCGGUGUAGCGGUGAAAUGCGUAGAUAUCAGGAGGAACACCGGUGGCGAAGGCGGUUCUCUGGGCAUGUCCUGACGCUGAGGAGCGAAAGUGUGGGGAGCGAACAGG